rnacentral:tRNA from 1 species
GGUGGGAUGGCUGAGUGGUCGAAAGCGCACGACUCGAAAUCGUGUAACCCCUUACGGGGUUCGAGGGUUCGAAUCCCUCUCCCACCGCCA